CCUGCGGAAGGGGGAAAGCGGAGAAGGGGAUCAGCAUCCAGGCGCGGACCUACCGGACCCGCGGCGGCAUCGGGCGCAGCCCGGCGUGGCAGAGGCUGAGCCGGUCUGAGGGAGGGGAGUGGCCGCCGGGCGGACGCAGGGGGUGGCUGCUAGCCUGAGUCCGUAUGCGGAUGAUGGAGGGGGCUGCCCCUCAGCCUGACGGGGCUCGAUUUGUGCUGUCUCCUACACACCCUGGGGGAGGGGAGGAGGCGGGACCUCUUCCUCCCCCCGGCGGCUGCGCCCAGCCCAUUAACCCUUUACACUCAGGCCGGGUAGGGCUCUGCCCUUCAGAGAGGUCGCAGGCCUGUGACGUGGGAGGUCUCGCGUCUCCCCAGCAUCUUUCAAGUCAGCGAGCCGCCGUUUACGUCCGUUAGCUUCCACCGGCAGCCAAAAGAACCUUUCGGUGAGGAAGUUCCAUCCCUUCCCCCUCACGGCCCCCCUUUCUGGGGCCUGACUGGAAUUUGGAACAUUCCGUUUUGCUGCAAUCAAGCCGGCUGCUCUGCACAGGAGGGAAGACAGAGAUGCUAUGGUAAAUGAAGCUGUAAGGAGUGUGGGGACUGGAUUUUGGAGAGAUGGAACAAGUGGAGUAGUCUUCAUGCUCCUAGCAAGUUACGGUACUGUUGGGCAAAGUUUGGACACCCUGCUCUAAAGUCACAGCUCAGAAGUUAUUAAUGUCUUAAAAACGGGUUUACAACCAGAAUGUUGACACAGACAGAAUCUUAAUACAGCUCUGCUAGCAAUCUUUAUGGAGGCAAAGUAAAACAAACAACUGAAGUUCUAUUGUUGAGAAUCUCAGAGAAUUGAUCCUCCUCCUGAAGUCACUGGGAGUUUUGCUACUGACUUCAAUGGGAACAGUAACUGAUCCUUAACAGAAAGGCUAACUUCAGGACUCUUGACCAAUUAUCUCGCACAAAGGGACGAGAGGACGUUAAGUGGGGAGUUACUGUACUCUGAGAGAAGUAUGUAGUUCGGGCUCUGGAGCGUGAGUCUUUCCAAGGUUGACAGGGAGGAACCACUUAAAGCCACUAAAAUGGUCUAUGGAGAUUUCCACAAGACUGCAACAGCCAAUGGUAUUCCCUCUUCAAAGUGUAACCUCCAUAUCUAUAAAGGACUAAGUAGUGAGGAGAACUGUUAGGUGACCAGCUUGUGCUGCUCUCCCUUUGUACCAUCACGGGGGCUAAGAUCCUCUUGGUUGCUCUUGCUGACUAUUUCUGAGGUUAAACACUGCAAGAGGAGAGACCAUGUGUUUUCAAUGGAGGGUCACACAUCCGGAAAUUGCUCCCUCCAGAGGUCCAUCAGAACCCAAAUUUGUGGUCAGAUUUGUGAGCAAUGCUGUAUACCUGCACUAUUGAGAAAAGUGUGAGCUAUUCCGUCAUUAAAAGACACAAGCAUCCUGAACCUAUCAGUCUCAUAAUCAUCUCCAAGCUGUUGAAGAUAAACAUGUGGUCUCUAGUCCCAAGCACCAUUGAGGAAUCAAGCUUGUAGUUGCAGGAUGUUCAGAUUAGGAUGGAGCACUUGACCCGCAUUCUGAGACAACAGUCAAGGUUUGUUCAGGAGCUGCCACAGAGGGCAAGAGAUUGAUGUGCAAGCACUGUUCCUGUUGUGACCAUUUGUCUUGGACUGUGUGAGGACCCAAAUGUGCUUCCCAUCCCAAAAGGGAAACAUUCAACAUUACUAUCACUGUAGGGGAUUCUGGCUGAACAGGAUUCCUGCACAAACUUUGGAUGGAUUCAGCCACCAGAUGAGUGACUUCAGGACCUGAUUGGGUACAGAUACUCACUUGUUAAUACUGUUUGUUGGGUAUACAAACAGUCCUGAGCCACCCCUGAAGAUACAAACAGGUGCUUUGUGUUACAAAAACGCAAGCUGCCAUACAUAACAGCAGUUGCAGACAUGUCCUUGCUGGAACUUGAGGGAUGAGCUGCACUCUUUGUAUAUGGUUCUUCAGAGCAAGGAACCUGUCAAGAGGGAGAUAAACUCUUCACAUUAUCGAAUCCAGAAGUGCUCCUAUAAAGAGAAUUCAUUGUGCAGAGGUCAAGAUAGAUUUCUUGAGAUUUAUUUGCAGGCCUAGCCUUCAGAAUAGUGAAGUUGUUGUUUGAACGGCAAACCUAACUCCUGAUAUGACCAACCCUUGAGGAGCCAGUUGUCAAGGCAGGGAAAGACAGUUAUCCCUAUAUGACUGAGAUAGGCAGCUACGACAGCCAUAAUUUUUAAGAAAACCCUUGGGGCGGAUAACAGGCCAAAAAGUGUAAAACCUGGUAAUGAUUGUGAUUGAAAGUGAAACAACCU